rnacentral:rRNA from 1 species
CAGCAGCCGCGGUAAUGCGGAGGGAGCUAGCGUUGUUCGGAAUUACUGGGCGUAAAGCGCGCGUAGGCGGUUACUCAAGUCAGAGGUGAAAGCCCGGGGCUCAACCCCGGAACUGCCUUUGAAACUAGGUAACUAGAAUCUUGGAGAGGUCAGUGGGAUUCCGAGUGUAGAGGUGAAAUUCGUAGAUAUUCGGAAGAACACCAGUGGCGAAGGCGACUGACUGGACAAGUAUUGACGCUGAGGUGCGAAAGCGCGGGGAGCAAACAGGAUUAGAGACCCCUGUAGUCCCUGUCUCUUAUAC